AAGGUUAACCAGAUGCUCCGCAGGGCGUAGCUUUAUACGACCGCAGAGGUUGAACCCUGAACGGUUAGGGCGAGUAUGGACACAACAUUCAAGCUGGAUUCAGCUCUAAAUUUGGAUUGUGAUUAAAUAGUUGACACAGCAUAGGUUUCUGACACAGAAUGAAUGUGUUCUAAUGAACUUAAAAUUUUUGUUUCUCUUAGAGCAAUUCACUAUGCUGUUGAAUAUUAAUCCUCUCAAAAAAAUGUUUGAAGAAAUUUUCUUUUUUAUUUAUGAAAUUUCAAAUGAGAAAAAUUGAACCCAAUUUUUUUAAUCACAUCCCCCUUUCCCUUAUUCCAAAACUAAUCUCAAUUAAAAUUUCUAAUGGAGUUUGCAACAAUAACUACUCAUUUAAAUACAUCAUAAAAUAUUAAGAUGUAAAAAAAAACUGCUUGUUAUCACUGAAUGGUAAAGAUUAUUUUAAUUUAUC
rnacentral:lncRNA from 1 species